UUUUCCUCAUUUGGUUCUUCUUUCUUCGGGGCUUAAAAAAAUCGUAGUGCUUGUAUUUUCGCGGUUUACCAUAGUCCAAGACAUAUAAACCCUAUUAUCAUAGUUUUCAUACUGUUCGGUAAGAUUCUUAUCUACUUUUAGUGAAAUUGAAUAUAUCACCAUUAAUAUGUUUUUCUUCAUUUGGUUCUUCUUUCUUCAAGCUAAAAAUAAUCAGAGCUCUUGUAUUUUCACGGUUUACCAUAAUGCAAAACAUAGAAACCCUAUUAUCACAGUUUUCAUAUUGUUCGCGAAAGGGAUAAGUAAGACAUGUCAAAACUUGGUGGUAGAGGUUGAUGCUAAAAAUCCAGUUCAUGCUUUCCAGAAAUUAAAGAAGAGAAAGUAAACCGGAAAUCCAACAACAACUAAAGAUGACCCUAAACACCAACACAAGCAAGGGUAAUAAGAAAAGUUUAAAAGACGGGACGAGCAUUUGUUCUGACACUUUUUAAGUGUAUUCCCUCUGAUCACAUAGGCCUCCGCGUUUAGGGAUUCUUAGGAGAAGUUCAAGAAAAAUUAGUGACUCGGAAUUAGUGGUGACGGUCUGGACUCACAUAAGGCAUUUGGGAAGAAAUUCAGGCUUCCAUACACAUUACUAACUGACGAGGGUAACAAGGUUAGAAAAGAAUGGGGAGUACCAUCUCAUCUAUUCGGAACAUUGUUAGAGCACUGCUCGGUUGAACCCACUAGCGUUGGUAUGUCAAGUUAGUUGUCAAUUUUAGUUGCCAAAAUGCAUUCUUGAUUUAGUAUACUAUACAUGGUUUCGGAUUAGAUUAGGU